rnacentral:pre_miRNA from 1 species
AUGACUUAGGGAUCUUGUUAAAACAUAGAUGCUGAUUCAGGAGGUCUGGGGUGGCGCCUGAGAUUCUGCAUUUCUAACAAGCCCCCAGGUGAUGCCUA